CCUACGGGAGGCUGCAGUAGGGAAUCUUCCACAAUGGACGAAAGUCUGAUGGAGCAACGCCGCGUGUGUGAUGAAGGGUUUCGGCUCGUAAAACACUGUUGUAAGAGAAGAAUGACAUUGAGAGUAACUGUUCAGUGUGUGACGGUAUCUUACCAGAAAGGAACGGCUAAAUACGUGCCAGCAGCCGCGGUAAUACGUAUGUUCCAAGCGUUAUCCGGAUGUAUUGGGCGUAAAGCGAGCGCAGACGGUUGGUUAAAUCCGAAGCGAAAUCCCACAGCUUAACUGUUGAAGUGCUUUGAAAGCAGGAUGACGUGAGUACAGUAGAGGAGAUUGGAACUCCAUGUGUAUCGGUGAAAUGCGUAGAUAUAUGGAAGAACACCAGAGUCGAAGGCGGCUCUCUGGACUGUAACUGACGUUGAGGCUCGAAAGUGUGGGUAGCGAACAGGAUUAGAUACGCCUGUAGUC
rnacentral:rRNA from 1 species